ACGAACGCUGGCGGCACGCUUAACACAUGCAAGUCGAACGAGAGAAGAGAAGCUUGCUUUUCUGAUCUAGUGGCGGACGGGUGAGUAACACGUGAGCAAUCUGCCUUUCAGAGGGGGAUACCGAUUGGAAACGAUCGUUAAUACCGCAUAAUAUAAUUGAACCGCAUGAUUUGAUUAUCAAAGAUUUAUCGCUGAAAGAUGAGCUCGCGUCUGAUUAGCUAGUUGGUAAGGUAACGGCUUACCAAGGCGACGAUCAGUAGCCGGACUGAGAGGUUGAUCGGCCACAUUGGGACUGAGACACGGCCCAGACUCCUACGGGAGGCAGCAGUGGGGAAUAUUGCACAAUGGAGGAAACUCUGAUGCAGCGAUGCCGCGUGAGGGAAGAAGGUUUUAGGAUUGUAAACCUCUGUCUUCAGGGACGAAAAAUGACGGUACCUGAGGAGGAAGCUCCGGCUAACUACGUGCCAGCAGCCGCGGUAAUACGUAGGGAGCGAAGGUUGUCCGGAAUUACUGGGUGUAAAGGGAGCGUAGGCGGGAUCGCAAGUCAGAUGUGAAAACUAUGGGCUUAACCCAUAAACUGCAUUUGAAACUGUGGUUCUUGAGUGAAGUAGAGGUAAGCGGAAUUCCUAGUGUAGCGGUGAAAUGCGUAGAUAUUAGGAGGAACAUCAGUGGCGAAGGCGGCUUACUGGGCUUUAACUGACGCUGAGGCUCGAAAGCGUGGGGAGCAAACAGGAUUAGAUACCCUGGUAGUCCACGCCGUAAACGAUGAUUACUAGGUGUGGGGGGACUGACCCCUUCCGUGCCGCAGCAAACGCAAUAAGUAAUCCACCUGGGGAGUACGACCGCAAGGUUGAAACUCAAAGGAAUUGACGGGGGCCCGCACAAGCAGUGGAGUAUGUGGAUUAAUUCGAAGCAACGCGAAGAACCUUACCAGGUCUUGACAUCGUAUGCAUAGCUCAGAGAUGAGUGAAAUCUCUUCGGAGACAUAUAGACAGGUGGUGCAUGGUUGUCGUCAGCUCGUGUCGUGAGAUGUUGGGUUAAGUCCCGCAACGAGCGCAACCCUUACUGUUAGUUGCUACGCAAGAGCACUCUAGCAGGACUGCCGUUGACAAAACGGAGGAAGGUGGGGAUGACGUCAAAUCAUCAUGCCCCUUAUGACCUGGGCCUCACACGUACUACAAUGGCUGUCAACAGAGGGAAGCAAAGCCGCGAGGUGGAGCAAACCCCUAAAAGCAGUCUUAGUUCGGAUUGUAGGCUGCAACCCGCCUACAUGAAGUCGGAAUUGCUAGUAAUCGCAGAUCAGCAUGCUGCGGUGAAUACGUUCCCGGGCCUUGUACACACCGCCCGUCACGCCAUGGGAGUCGGUAACACCCGAAGCCUGUAGUCUAACCGCAAGGAGGACGCAGUCGAAGGUGGGAUUGAUGACUGGGGUG
rnacentral:rRNA from 1 species